CUUUAUUAUAGGGCAUCUCAGAAGUGAUCAUAUAAACUAUCAAAUGUGAAGCAAGAAGGAAAUAAACCCCCCUAACUAAAGCCAAAAAGAGCUGUUAUGGACCUAUUGUAGUUUUACUUCAUUGCUGGUUUGUGACAAAUGGUUGGAAAGCACUACAUGCAGUACCUCUGAACCUGAUUCAGAAAGGACAUGAAAAGACUCAUUGCUCUGCUCUUUCUGGACCUCCGGUGCACUUUUACCAAAGUCAGAGGAUUUCUGCUUUGAUCCAAGACAAAUUGCUGGACUGAAGAGCAUAAGAAGGUUAUGGUUCAUGAUCUCCUGGAAACUGCUUGGAAAUGAUACAGCAAAAAGGGCUACACCGUUCCACAUUUAAAAUGCUUGUCAAUGGUUUCCAGUGAGAAGCUGAGCAGUAUCAACAUGAAGGCAUUGUGAGGGAGAACGUUCAUCCAUAGUAACAAAUCCUGUUCUGUCUCCCAGUGAACGCUGGGUCUAGACACUGCCUCUGACACUGAAGACAGAACUCUUCCUGGCUGGGAAUCGCCUGUAGGACAAUCUGUACAGACAGGCACAUAAAGGAAAAAAGUAUGUCUUUCUGUAAUGAUGGUUCUUUUUUGAGUGUGUUAUCUAUACAUUUCACAAUUUAUUUUUCUUUGCCACAUUUAAAGAAUGCUGGACUUUGCACUGGUGAAGAAACC